GUAGAUGUACAGCCUCAGUGGACGACAUCUGGGAAGAAGAGGAACGUUACACAGAUCAGCAGAAGGAACAAGUGGAGCUAUGAGCUCCUCAUGACUCGCCUGCUGGAAGCAUCACUGUCUCCCUCAGCCCCAACCUUGACCCCGCCCACCCUCAUCACGCGGCCCAAUCGCCUCGCUGACCUUGCCUACACAUGUCCCCGCCCCCCUGUCACUCAUCAUGUACAGUGACUGAGAGGAGGAGGAAAUGAUGCUUAAACUACAACAAAGAUGGCGGAUCAUCCAGCCUCACGUUUACCAAUCUCCUUCAUCUUCCUCAUAGCACACACACAACUCCUCCUCGUCUCUGGUUUGUAGAAGGUUUGAAGUCUCCCUCCUGGAGACAAAGACAGGAAGCCGGGUCCUCCGAUCCAUCCUGCUUUGAUUGCAGCCAGAAGACGAGGCAGCGAUCCGGAGGAGGCCGGAGCGGCGGCGCUGAAUGAUGAAUUAUGUUUCAAGGCUUUUCACGUGGCGCACUGGAAUUCAUGUCCAGCCUUAAUAGCGCUCGUUUUCUGCCUUGUUCACUCCAUUAGUGGCGAGCGGGGGGCCCCGAGUGGCGGGCCCCGCCGCUAAUUACAGCGUGAGGGAUGAUCGGCGAGGGCUCAUUACCGGCGGUGCGGGCCGAAACAUACUGUCUCUCUCCCCGGUUAAUGAUGUUGGAUCUGUGGUGAGGAGAGACCAGCGCUCGCCGCUUCAUCAAACGUCUGAGUGUCCGCGGGUUAACGUGGCUGUUGACUUCCUCUCUGUCU